AUCGAUGAAGAACGCAGCAAAAUGCGAUAAGUAAUGUGAAUUGCAGAAUUCAGUGAAUCAUCGAAUCUUUGAACGCACAUUGCGCCCGCCAGUAUUCUGGCGGGCAUGCCUGUUCGAGCGUCAUUUCAACCCUCAAGCACAGCUUGGUGUUGGGACUCGCGUUAAUUCGCGUUCCUCAAAUUGAUUGGCGGUCACGUCGAGCUUCCAUAGCGUAGUAGUAAAACCCUCGUUACUGGUAAUCGUCGCGGCCACGCCGUUAAACCCCAACUUCUGAAUGUUGACCUCGGAUCAGGUAGGAAUACCCGCUGAACUUAAGCAUAUCAAUAAGCGGAGG
rnacentral:rRNA from 1 species